rnacentral:rRNA from 1 species
CACGUAGGGUGCGAGCGUUGUCCGGAAUUAUUGGGCGUAAAGAGCUCGUAGGCGGUGUGUCGCGUCGGCCGUGAAAACCUGCAGCUUAACUGUGGGCUUGCGGUCGAUACGGGCAUCACUGGAGUUCGGCAGGGGAGACUGGAAUUCCUGGUGUAGCGGUGAAAUGCGCAGAUAUCAGGAGGAACACCGGUGGCGAAGGCGGGUCUCUGGGCCGAUACUGACGUGAGGAGCGAAAGCA